rnacentral:rRNA from 1 species
GAUGAACGCUGGCGGCGUGCUUAACACAUGCAAGUCGAACGAAGCACCUUGAUUUGAUUCUUCGGAUGAAGAUCUUGGUGACUGAGUGGCGGACGGGUGAGUAACGCGUGGGUAACCUGCCUCAUACAGGGGGAUAACAGUUAGAAAUGACUGCUAAUACCGCAUAAGACCACAGUACCGCAUGGUACAGGGGUAAAAACUCCGGUGGUAUGAGAUGGACCCGCGUCUGAUUAGGUAGUUGGUGGGGUAACGGCCUACCAAGCCGACGAUCAGUAGCCGACCUGAGAGGGUGACCGGCCACAUUGGGACUGAGACACGGCCCAAACUCCUACGGGAGGCAGCAGUGGGGAAUAUUGCACAAUGGGGGAAACCCUGAUGCAGCGACGCCGCGUGAGCGAUGAAGUAUUUCGGUAUGUAAAGCUCUAUCAGCAGGGAAGAAAAUGACGGUACCUGACUAAGAAGCACCGGUUAAAUACGUGCCAGCAGCCGCAGUAA